AUGAACGCUGGCGGCGUGCCUAAUACAUGCAAGUCGAGCGAACGGACGAGAAGCUUGCUUUUCUGAUGUUAGCGGCGGACGGGUGAGUAACACGUGGAUAACCUACCUAUAAGACUGGGAUAACUUCGGGAAACCGGAGCUAAUACCGGAUAAUAUUUUGAACCGCAUGGUUCAAAAGUGAAAGACGGUCUUGCUGUCACUUAUAGAUGGAUCCGCGCUGCAUUAGCUAGUUGGUAAGGUAACGGCUUACCAAGGCAACGAUGUAUAGCCGACCUGAGAGGGUGAUCGGCCACACUGGAACUGAGACACGGUCCAGACUCCUACGGGAGGCAGCAGUAGGGAAUCUUCCGCAAUGGGCGAAAGCCUGACGGAGCAACGCCGCGUGAGUGAUGAAGGUCUUCGGAUCGUAAAACUCUGUUAUUAGGGAAGAACAUAUGUGUAAGUAACUGUGCACAUCUUGACGGUACCUAAUCAGAAAGCCACGGCUAACUACGUG
rnacentral:rRNA from 1 species